UGAUAAACAAGGGGAGCACGCGGAGCAUCCGCUGGCCUCGAGCUCCCUUCUAACGUUUGUGCAAUUGCGCGAGACACUGUAAACUGAGAUCGAUUUCAACAAAGAAAAAGUGGUCUCGCUAUCACAAAAAUCCUUGUCACUGGCAGACAACUGGCACCAAGACUGCAUCAAAAAUAAAGAGUGAAAUUCCUGGACUCAACUUGUAACAGGCACCUAUUUAGUGGACUCUUUCACCGGUGGCGGAUUAGAAGUCUGGAUAAGGAGAAGCAAACACUGACAGCUUCUCUGAGUAAGCAACAGAAAGAGGGAAGCAGAGGAAGAUAGAGAGAACGGGGGAGAGAGACAGGAGGAGGAGGAGAGACAUGAGGAGAAUGAAGGACAGAGCGAGAGAGGCAGCCGGAGAGGAUAUUCAAGGAGUGGCACUUACCCGUAGCCAUCCAUCGUUUCUCCCUCCGCCACCAACGCCAACCCCCAACCCCCAACCCCACCCACCCCUACAUCCCCUUAUAGCCUCCUUUUAUUUAUUUAUUUUUUGCUUUCUCGGCCAUGACAAUGCCGUGACUACUUACAGAGCACUGAAACUGCUCUUUGAGCCUGACGAUGAUGGUGGGUUCAAGUGGCAGGUUGCAGGAUGUGUCAAACACGGUCUAAUUCUGUGUGGUUAACAGCUAGGCGUGACACGAGCAGGACAGUGUAAACAUGGAUUAGGUUGAUGUCUCACUCACAGCAUGGCAGAAUGACAGACAGCUACUGACAGUGGCGGCAACACAGGGAAUCUGCUCGGUGCGGGGACUCACAGCGGCGUUAUCGUACACACUUCCUCACAUCCAACAUAGUUGCUACUGCAACUAAAUAUGACAUCAUUUUUCUUAUGUUGAGUAAUUUAUUUUGUUGUCCACCCUCAAUUCUCAUCUCAUUUAUUAUGAUUUGAUCAAGAUAUUAAUAUGUUAUAGUAAUGUUAAUUUACUGCAUUAUUGUACAGAAUUAGUAUUUCUCAUUUGUCGCGAACCCAACAAUGGA